rnacentral:rRNA from 1 species
AUUGAACGCUAGCGGGAUGCUUUACACAUGCAAGUCGAACGAGUGGCGGACGGGUGAGUAAUAUAUCGGAACGUGCCCAGUAGCGGGGGAUAACUACUCGAAAGAGUGGCUAAUACCGCAUACAAUCGGAGCGGCCGAUAUCGGAUUAGCUAGUUGGGGGGGUAAAGGCUCACCAAGGCAACGAUCCGUAGCUGGUUUGAGAGGACGACCAGCCACACUGGGACUGAGACACGGCCCAGACUCCUACGGGAGGCAGCAGUGGGGAAUUUGGGACAAUGGGGGAAACCCUGAUGCAGCCAUCCCGCGUGUAUGAGAAGGCCUUCGGGUUGUAAAGUACUUUUGGCGGAGAAGAGGUAUCUGAACAGAAAGCAACGGCUAACUACGUGCCAGCAGCCGCGGUAAUUC